rnacentral:rRNA from 1 species
CAAUAGCGUAUAUUAAAGUUGUUGCGGUUAAAAAGCUCGUAGUUGGAUCUCGGCAGGCAGGGGGUGGUUCGCUCUUAGCGCUACUGCCCCAUUUGACUGUGUGAUUGGCGGAGGUUUCGGGGUGCUCUUCGUUGAGUGACCCGGGGCGCCGUCAGGUUUACUUUGAAAAAAUUAGAGUGCUCAAAGCAGGCUUUUCACGCUUGAAUAUUCGUGCAUGGAAUAAUGGAAUAGGAACUCGUUUCUAUUUUGUUGGUUUUCGGAAAUCGAGUUAAUGAUUAAUAGGGACAAUUGGGGGCAUUAGUAUUCAGACGACAGAGGUGAAAUUCUUGGACCGUCUGAAGACUAACUACUGCGAAAGCAUUUGCCAAGAGUGUUUUCAUUAA